UUAAAAAAUAUAAAUUUAAUUUUACAUUGAAAAUGUAAGGUUUUUUUUAUUAAACUAUA
rnacentral:tRNA from 1 species